GAUGAACGCUGGCGGCGUGCUUAACACAUGCAAGUCGAACGAAGCACUUGAAUGGAAUUCUUCGGAAGGAAGCUCAAGUGACUGAGUGGCGGACGGGUGAGUAACGCGUGGGUAAGCUGCCUCAUACAGGGGGAUAACAGUUAGAAAUGACUGCUAAUACCGCAUAAGCACACGUGAUCGCAUGAUUGAGUGGGAAAAACUCCAGUGGUAUGAGAUGGACCCGCGUCUGAUUAGCUAGUUGGUUGGGUAAUGGCCCACCAAGGCGACGAUCAGUAGCCGGCCUGAGAGGGUGACCGGACACAUUGGGACGGAGACACGGCCCAAACUCCUACGGGAGGCAGCAGUGGGGAAUAUUGCACAAUGGGGGGGACCCUGAUGCAGCGACGCCGCGUGAAGGAUGAAGUAUUUCGGUAUGUAAACUUCUAUCAGCAGGGAAGAAAAUGACGGUACCUGACUAGGAAGCCCCGGCUAACUACGUGCCAGCAGCCGCAGUAA
rnacentral:rRNA from 1 species